rnacentral:lncRNA from 8 species
UACCCCCCUGAGUUAGACAUCUAUUUGUAUUAGGUUUAUGAGUCAGACAGGGCAUCACUUAACCUUUUGAGGAGCAUGGACAGACAACAUAUCCUGAUUCUACUUGUUCUUAUUGAACUGUAAAGUUCCACAACAGAAUACUGAGAAUAAGGUUCUAUGAACUCACUCCACAAAGGGCUAAAAGUGACUCGUAGCCACUCAGGUAGCCAGCUAUGUUCUGUCAGUCUCUCUACUAGCAGUGUCUUCUACUGGCAGUGUUUUCCUCUCACCUUGCAGCUAAUACAAGACCCAUAACCUUGAUCACUGCGUACGUAAUCUUUGUUUGUGAAUGUUACUCACACAGUGUCAGAGACCUUUCCCCUUUAUUCUCAAUAUUACAACACAAUCUGAAUUUUACAAGACACGAUCUAAAAAACAGAAACUUGUUUUCCUCUCUAUUCCCCGUAAGACAAAAUGUACAAUAGGUAUAUUGUCAGUCAAAGAGUAAACAAGUUACUCAGCUCAAUGUAUAUUCUUGUAUGUUGGGAUACUUUACAUGUGCUUUAAAGAAUAUAAUAAAAGUAUUUCUUUUGAAUAUGUGAAGUGUCUGUCUUAAAAAUGUUAACUCUUUCAUCACACACUUGGUUUAUUUACAUAAAAAAGGAUAAUUCCACUUACAGCAUACAGAAUAGUGGUAAUAGUAUGGAAACAUUAUUUGCCUAGAUACCCCUUAAUUUCAUAAUCAUAUACUUGUUUCUGGGUAAUACACCACAUACAGUGCAUUCGGAAAUUAUUCAGAACCCUUAAUUUUUCCACAUUUUAUUACGUUACAGCCUUAUUCUAAAAUGGAUGAAAAAAUAUUAAUAAUCCCCUCAUCAAUCUGCACAUAAUAACCCAUAAUGACAAAGCAAAAGCUGUUUGUUUUUACAUUUUUGAAAAUGUAUUACAUUUACAUUUAAGUCAUUUAGCAGACGCUCUUAUCCAGAGCGACUUACAAAAUGGUGCAUUCACCUUAUGAUAUCCAGUGGAACAACCACUUUACAAUAGUGCAUCUAAAUCUUUUAAGGGGGGGGGGGGGUUAGAAGGAUUACUUUAUCCUAUCCUAGGUAUUCCUUAAAGAGGUGGGGUUUCAGGUGUCUCCGGAAGGUGGUGAUUGACUCCGCCAAAUGGUUAUGUGCUAGCUCCCUCAACAAUGCAGUACGUUAAUCAAUAAUAACAAUGAAAAGAGUUGAGAGUCUUAUGUAUAACACAUUAGCCAGAUCUGUUUGUGCUUUUACAAACUCCAUUGUCAUUGUUUUGGCAUGACAAUUCCAUAAGGAGUUGGCUAGAGAGCAGAGACAGACUGGGACCAGGUUAAGAACACGUCACACUCCAAACUGCAGAGUGGGACCUGGAUCAUUCAGGAUGGCACCACAUUGUAAAACGUAUUGCGCUGAACAGACAUGAUUCUCUGCAAUUAGAAAAGGUAUGACAUCAGCACCAUACAUUUUUGUAUAUAUUCUGCAGCAUUGUACCUCUCUGAAUAAGGCUCAAAUCUGAAUAAGGCUCAAUUGUUGCCAAAAACAUUCACGCAUUGGGAAAGGAAAUGGAGUCGACUGGGAAAAAUCCAUUGUCCUCAGCAGAGCUGUCACUGACUGAAUAAGGCUGUGGCCCACAGCUAGUUCCUUCCCCGAUGUCU